CAGCCGCCGCGGUAAAACCAGCACCUCAAGUGGUCAGGAUGAUUAUUGGGCCUAAAGCAUCCGUAGCUCGUUUUGCAAGUUUUCGGUUAAAUCCGUACGCUUAACGUAUGGGCUGCCGGGAAUACUGCAUAACUAGGAAGUGGGAGAGGUAGACGGUACUCGGUAGGAAGGGGUAAAAUCCUUUGAUCUAUUGAUGACCACCUGUGGCGAAGGCGGUCUACCAGAACACGUUCGACGGUGAGGGAUGAAAGCUGGGGGAGCAAACCGGAUUAGAUACCCGGGUAGUCCCAGCUGUAAACUAUGCAAACUCAGUGAUGCAUUGGCUUGUGGCCAAUGCAGUGCUGCAGGGAAGCCGUUAAGUUUGCCGCCUGGGAAGUACGUACGCAAGUAUGAAACUUAAAGGAAUUGGCGGGGGAGCAC
rnacentral:rRNA from 2 species